UCGCUGCCUGGCCGAGAUGCACGCGGCGGGCCUGUCGAGCGCGCAGAUCUCCUGGGUGGGGCCGCUCCGGUUCUACUCCGGCGCGGUCGG
rnacentral:tRNA from 1 species